CAUGCUUACUCAUCUUCCACCAAAGUCGACGAAACUCGUUAAAUCAAUGUUAUCCAUAAGCAAUUAGUCUCUCCUGUUUCAAUAUUUAAUUUUAAGAACCGUAUUUUGAGAUUAAUUUAUGUAACAAACUGAUUUGAAACAUACGUGGCAAUCUUAUUCAUUGUUUACAGUCUUGAUGGUUAUAUUUGCUAUUUUUACAUCAUCAAUUAAUGUAAAUUAACUGACUUUACUUUAUUUCUCCUUUUACAUGAUCAAAUUCAUAAAUUUAUUACAUAUACAUUUACAAAUUGUUGUAUGUACACUGUACAUGUCGUCUUAACCAAACGGGAACGAUAAAUAUUGCAAAAGUGGCAAUGCAGUAAUAUGCUACUCCGUUUAUUCCUUUUUAAUUGCUUCCUUUUAUCAAAUGAUACAAAUUUUGAUCAUCAUUUUAAGAUUAUUUCUCAAAAAUAUUUUUUUAAAAGAAAAAUUGCAAUUUAUAGUACUUUUCAGGUAGUUUUUGAAUAUCUAAAUUAUAAUUUUAAAAAAUUUAAAUUAAUUUAAUCUAAUUUGAUUUUAAAACUUAAUCAAAUUGACUUAGAAAAAAUAGGAGAGCAUUAAAAAGGUCUGGAGGGAAUGUGAGAGUUCCGUAAGCAUCACAUCUGGGAAAGAUUGAUUAUAUAACAAAAACUUUUAUAUGAUCAACAAAUAUAAUUGAUGUCGACUUCAAAUUAAUCAACAAAUAUAAUUGAUGUCGACUUCAAAUUAACAUUCUGAAACCAAUUCUGUACAUAAUUUACAAACAGAUGAAGAAAUUGAAAUAUCUAAAAUCAACAAACUGUUCCCCCAACCCUCCCAAUAAAAAGACACCAUAUAUCCUGCUAUAAUAUGUCACAAAUCAAAUUUUCUUAUCCCCCUAAUUGUUUGCUAAAGAAGAAAAAGAGGCCAAGCAAUUUUGACCUGUCUGCUAUAUGAAUCUUUACUACCCAUGCCGCAAAUUGAUUAGUUUUAGUUUAUGCGAGUUUGGGGUGUGGGGUCGACAACACAGCAAGCACGUGUAGUUGCACUAUUGAUGAGCUUGAUUUGGAUUAUUAACAGCAACACCAAACCGAGCCAUGAGGCUACCCGGAUACGCAGAGUUACUAGCCUUUAACAUAUGACCAGCAAAGUGCAUUUCAUUGAAUGGACAACCCGAACCGGAGCCAACAUUUCCAGGGAUAUUUGUGCAACCAGAUGGUCCAGAAGGAGGGACUGGACCUCUUUGGAGUGACUGUAAAUUCAUCAACUCUUUUUCAUAUAACAACCUGGUUCCUUUACCUGGCUGGACGCACACAAUUAGGACAAUAAGGGCUAAGAAUACCAAUAAAAUGGUUUUAAGAAUAUACAUCUACUUAUGUUGCAAAUUAAAGCAGGAACAAGAAUAAUGUUGGUUUUGUAAUUGAGGAGAGAGGGGACAUAUUUAUAGGCAAGGUUUCUUAUAGUUCGAUUAAUAGGAUAGGUUUUUGACUAUUGACUGCUGCUGCCAACCCACAAUGUAUAUAAUAUUUUCCUUGCUAGGAAAUUGGUAUGGAACCGACAAAUAUAUUAUUCAUCCAAGGUUUAUGUGUUGGUAUUUCGUAGUAAAAUAUAUUAGUUGGAGAUAAACCUAAGUGGGAUUGUGUACGUAGUUGAUGAUGUUAAAGUUUAGUGCUAGAGGCAGCCGGAUCUAUAGUUCCACGCCAACUUGGUAA
rnacentral:lncRNA from 1 species